rnacentral:rRNA from 1 species
CAUCCCUUGACCGCGUAUGAAGACGUUUUCACCCUCGGGUGACAGGGAGACAGGUGGUGGCAUGGUUGUCGUCAGCUCGUGUCGUGAGAUGUUGGGUUAAGUCCCGCAACGAGCGCAACCCCUACGUUUAGUUGCUAACGCGUGAAGGCGAGCACUCUAGACGAACUGCCGUUGACAAAACGGAGGAAGGUGGGGAUGACGUCAAAUCAUCAUGCCCCUUAUGUUCUGGGCUACACACGUGCUACAAUGGCCGGUACAGACGGACGCAAAGCCGCGAGGUGGAGCAAAUCCUAAAAAGCCGGUCUCAGUUCGGAUUGCAGGCUGCAAUUCGCCUGCAUGAAGUCGGAAUCGCUAGUAAUCGCAGGUCAGCAUACUGCGGUGAAUACGUUCCCGGGCCUU